GUAUGAUCUCGUGAAACCUUGAGAGAAAGUGAAUGACGAAUGAAACUAUUGUUCCUGUUUCACACAGAAGAAAACUGAGGUUGGCAAUCAUGAUGAGCCCCUGUUCUCAUUCUGCAAAUGGUGAAGCUCUCUAUUGUCCUGACCCCACAGUUCCUGUCCCAUGAGCAGGGCCAGCUCACCAAGGAGCUGCAGCAGCACGUAAAGUCAGUGACAUGCCCAUGCGAGUACCUGAGGAAGGUUAUCAAUACUCUGGCUGUCUAUCGUCAUCGUGAGACUGACUUUUGUGGAGGAGUUCGAGACCACCCUGGCCAACAUGGCAAAACCCCAUCUCCACAAAAAUUGGAUAAUUUGAUAAUUAUCAUUAUUGAGUUUCUGAGACCUUACACAUUUACCAUUCUCUUCUGCACAAAUUACCUUUGUUUGUCUUUCCUGAAGACUAUCUUCCAGUCUGAAAAUGGACAUGAUGGAUCCACAGAUGUACAGCAGAGAGCCUGGAGGUCCAACCGACGUAGACAGGAAGGGCUGAGGUCCAUUUGUAUGCACACAAAGAAAAGAGUUUCUUCCUUUCCAGGAAAUAAAAUUGGCCUGAAAGACGUCAUUACUCUACGGAGACAUGUGAAAGAAAAGUUAGAGCUAAAAUCCAUAAGAUGAAGGUGACAACGAAAAUCAACCAUCAUGACAAAAUCAAUGGAAAGAGGAAGACCGCCAGAAAACAGAAAAUGUUUCAACGUGCGCAAGAGUUGCGGCGGCGGGCAGAGGACUACCACAAAUGCAAAAUCCCCCCUUCUGCAAGAAAGCCUCUUUGCAACUGGGUCAGAAUGGCGGCAGCGGAGCAUCGCCAUUCUUCAGCAUUGCCCUACUGGCCCUACCUCACAGCUGAAACUUUAAAAAACAGGAUGGGCCACCAGCCACCUCCUCCAACUCAACAACGUUCUAUAACGGAUAACCUCCACCUCAAGCCUCCAAUCCCCACCCCCUCCACCUCAGUGGAUGAUCUCAACACCUCCCGAGUGUCCGUGCUCUAUCCCCUCCCCUCAGCAUAUAAUCCACCUCCCCUCUUCCCACCCUCCUCCACCCUCAGCUACUCCACCCUCACCCCCUUAGCACUCAGAGCGAGAAAAAACACCAAACCAAAGAGGCGGAGGCGAUAGUGGAACCCAUCACCAAACCAAGAGGCGGAGUGAUAGUGAAAAGCCAUUCACCAACUGAGCAAUAAAAUAAAAAAGAAAAAAAAAAAAAAAAAAAAAAAAACAAAAAAAAACUAACAAAGAAUAAAUAAAUAAUAUAAAAAU
rnacentral:sRNA from 1 species